GAUGAACGCUAGCUACAGGCUUAACACAUGCAAGUCGAGGGGCAGCAUGUCGGUUGCUUGCAACCGAUGAUGGCGACCGGCGCACGGGUGAGUAACGCGUAUCCAACCUACCCUUGUCCAUCGGAUAACCCGUCGAAAGGCGGCCUAACACGAUAUGCGGUUCUCAGCAGGCAUCUAACGAGAACGAAAUGUGAAGGAGAAGGAUGGGGAUGCGUCUGAUUAGCUUGUUGGCGGGGUAACGGCCCACCAAGGCAACGAUCAGUAGGGGUUCUGAGAGGAAGGUCCCCCACAUUGGAACUGAGACACGGUCCAAACUCCUACGGGAGGCAGCAGUGAGGAAUAUUGGUCAAUGGACGCAAGUCUGAACCAGCCAAGUAGCGUGCAGGAUGACGGCCCUAUGGGUUGUAAACUGCUUUUAUG
rnacentral:rRNA from 1 species